AUUGUAUGAUGGCUGGAAGAGCUUUGUGUCAUGGGUUUCUCUUAUCAGGUCAAACUCUCUUUUGUCUGAAUCUGAGAAGAACCAUUGGUACCCUUGUAUUUG
rnacentral:pre_miRNA from 1 species